GAUGAAGAACGCAGCGAAAUGCGAUAAGUAAUGUGAAUUGCAGAAUUCAGUGAAUCAUCGAAUCUUUGAACGCACAUUGCGCCCCCUGGUAUUCCGGGGGGCAUGCCUGUCCGAGCGUCAUUACAACCCUCAAGCUCAGCUUGGUAUUGGGCCCCGCCGACCCGGCGGGCCCUAAAGUCAGUGGCGGUGCCGUCCGGCUCCGAGCGUAGUAUUUCUUCUCGCUCUGGAGGUCCGGUCGUGUGCUCGCCAGCAACCCCCAAUUUUUUUCAGGUUGACCUCGGAUCAGGUAGGGAUACCCGCUGAACUUAAGCAUAUCAAUAAGCGGAGGA
rnacentral:misc_RNA from 1 species